GUCUCUUCUAACAGGUACUACUACACUUUGCUAUUACUUGCACAUUUUCAUUUGGACGGUGUCUGCUCCGAUUCCGAAUUUCAUCCGCACUUUUAUCACGCCGUGGCCGGCCAAGGCCCGAUCCGACUCCAUGCACAUUUUACCAUUUGGUUUAAAUUGUAUUUCUAAUAAUUGGAAAUGAAAGAAAGGGAGUAAAAACGAUCGAUUGGAUAUUGGCGUAGCUUAUCACGUCCUGUUAUCAAAUCUGUACGCCUUCGUCUUUCGUUCUUUUUUCGACUUUACUGGGUUGACAGCUGGAACGGUGGCGCUAAGCCUCAUCUGCAGAUGAGAGGUCCAUUUUCCAAUAAACGGAUUUGUUAAACAGUUUAGAUGACGUCUUGACCUCAACUGCUGACUUCUGGACGGAUGUGUUAAAUACAGAUGAGCAGGCUUUGGCCAAAAUAUCAAACUGGAUGAGAUGCAACCUAUUAACUUUGAAAAGAAAUAAAUGCUCAUUCAUGCCCGUAUCCAUUAGCCAAGAGUCGACAACAUAAAACUUCUCAAACACUACAUCAGUGUGAGGAACAACUGCAUUGUUGCCAACCAAUUAAAACAGUAGGUUAAAUAUCUUGAGACAGACAAUCACAUGAAAUGAAAUAAACAUAUUAAAUAUAAAUGAGAAAAUGUAAGGACAUGUAUGUAUAUUAUAAACAAAAUAUAAGGAUUCCAAAUUAAAACUAAAAA